GAUGAACGCUGGCGGCGUGCUUAACACAUGCAAGUCGAACGGAGUUUUAGUAAUUGAUUGAUUAAGCUUGCUUUUGAGAGAUUUUAUUAAAACUUAGUGGCGGACGGGUGAGUAACGCGUGGGUAACCUGCCGUAUACAGGGGGACAACAGUUGGAAACGACUGCUAAUACCGCAUCAGCGCACAGGACCGCAUGGUCUGGUGUGAAAAACUCCGGUGGUAUACGAUGGACCCGCGUCUGAUUAGCUAGUUGGUGAGGUAACGGCUCACCAAGGCGACGAUCAGUAGCCGGUCUGAGAGGAUGAACGGCCACAUUGGGACUGAGACAGGCCCAGACUCCUACGGGAGGCAGCAGUGGGGAAUAUUGGGCAAUGGGGGAAACCCUGACCCAGCAACGCCGCGUGAAGGAAGAAGGCCUCGGGUUGUAAACUUCUUUUACCAGGACGAAGAACGUAGACGGUACCUA
rnacentral:rRNA from 1 species